rnacentral:lncRNA from 1 species
AAAGUGUCAACAUUAAAAUCAAGCAAACAGACGAAAAGAGAACAGCUCAUGAGAGAGAGUACCCUGAACUGCUCACACUUUAUGCCACGGUCCUCAGGUGGCUAACCCAAGGAAACGGUAAAGAACCACCCCCAAUUUGUGUCCGAUUAUGCAGAGCUAGAGUGGAAAACUUUAAUACAGUGACUAGGGCACCAAAAGGAUGGCAGGCGGGAGGGUUGCUCGAGUCUGAAGCUCCUUCCGGAUAGUCAGAAGAGAAGCCUGAUGUUCGCUGUCAUCUGGACCCCAACUCCACACUUCUGCUACAGUGUUGCAGACCAAGACGUCAUGAAUUGGCUGUUAUGAAGAUGAAGGUAUCAGCUUAGCACUACUGAAAUCCUGAAUUACUCUGUUGAGUAGCACAGCGGAGACCAUGUUCUAACCAUUAUCUUACACCGGGAAGCUGCCUGUUGCCUGCUAGGUAUGUGUGCAAUUGGAAGGUAAAUAACUUAUGUAUGCUUGCUUGUGUAUAUGGAGGCCUGAAGUGGAUGCUGGGUUUCUUCCUCCAGCACUCUGGCUUUAUUUGAGGUGUAGUCUCUCACUGAACCUUGGGUUCCCUGAUUUGAGCAGUCAGCUUCUUACCAGAGUUCUCUGUCCCUGCCUUCCCUAGUGCUGGGGUUACAGGUGGCCACCACAGGAGCCUGCAUCUAUGUGGGUACUGCGCUUUCGCGCUUGGGUCCUCACACGUGUGCAGCAUACAUUCUAUCCACCCGCACUGUCUCCCGCAUCCACAGUCGGAACACGGUUGUAGUUCUAAUAUGCAUUUCAUGGAUUCCCGAUGAAAGCAGCUACCAUGUAUGCUCACGGACGGGCGGCAUUUCCUCUGCUGAAAUGCCCGCUCAAUCUUUUGAAUGGGUUGAGAUCCCAGCUUAGCACUGAAUGACCAAGCAAGCGCCUGGCCUGCACUGCCUCGGUGUCCUCGAUGUGCUGGGGAUGGUCUGUACUUCUGUCACAGGGCUGCUUAUGAAACUCAGUGUGGCAAUACACGUAAAGUGCUUAGUAUAGGAGCUGACCUACCAUAAGUAUUACAACUUAUAGAUACUGAGUAUUACCUUAAAAUAUUUUUAUCUCUUCAUUCUAUACAUGGCCUUCUGACAUCUUACCUUCCAUAGUACUGUUUUUAAUCCAUGCAUCACUACCUCUGAGUCAAGAGGGGAGGUGGAGCCUGGUUGCAGGUUUCUUUCCACAGGGAUGAACAGGCUCUCAAUGCCAGUUUUUGGAAAGCUCACCUCAGUUUGACUUUUCCACGGUCUCAGCUCCGUCGUGAAUUAUUUCUAGAUGCUCUACCUUUAAACACUGGACCUUGUGCCAACAUCACAGCUGUGAAUAACACACUGAGGUUUCUUAUGCAGGCGAGCCUUGGCUAGUCCUGGCUUUACACUCACAAGUCUUAAGAGUGGAUAGAUAUCUGCUUUCCUGAGAAGGAAAAUGUCUUCUGCCUAGACCAGUUGGUUGCUCCCUCUUGUCCUUUCGUCACUGCCCCAGUUUCGCUCCUGUGGUAAAAAUACCCCAGCAAACAGCAGCUGAGGGGACAGAGCGUUUCUUCUGGCUCACAGGUCCGGGAUAUAGUCCGUCAUACCAGGGAGUUCAGGGUGGCGGAUGCUUCAGAGCAACAAGUCACGUGACAUCCACAGUCAGGAGAUGGAAGGAAGGUGUGCCCGCUGACUGUCCAGCUCAUCAUCUUGGACCCACCCCUAAGAGAUGAUACCAGCCACAGUGGCCUGGGUCUAUCUCCUCAUGUCAUUCAGUGUCAUCGAACAGUACCCAGAAGAGCCCACAGACCAUCCUCUUCUACGUACUCCCUCACUGAGACACCUCCCAGCUGAUUUCAGACUGUCGUGUUGAUAACCAACACUGACGAUCACUGGUCAUUAAAAAAUAUCCUUGUCCUUAAAAGAAAUCAUUUAUUACAGUAC